GGCCCUGUAGUUCAAUGGAUAGAACGGAAGUUUCCUAAACUUUAAAUAUAGGUUCGAUUCCUAUCGGGGCUACAA
rnacentral:tRNA from 2 species